rnacentral:rRNA from 1 species
AGAGUUUGAUCAUGGCUCAGAACGAACGCUGGCGGCAGGCCUAACACAUGCAAGUCGAGCGCGCCUUCGGGUGAGCGGCGGACGGGUUAGUAACGCGUGGGAACGUGCCCUUCUCUACGGAAUAGCCUCUGGAAACGGAGAGUAAUACCGUAUACGCCCUUUGGGGGAAAGAUUUAUCGGAGAAGGAUCGGCCCGCGUUAGAUUAGGUAGUUGGUGGGGUAACGGCCUACCAAGCCUACGAUCUAUAGCUGGUUUUAGAGGAUGAUCAGCAACACUGGGACUGAGACACGGCCCAGACUCCUACGGGAGGCAGCAGUGGGGAAUCUUAGACAAUGGGCGCAAGCCUGAUCUAGCCAUGCCGCGUGAGUGAUGAAGGCCUUAGGGUCGUAAAGCUCUUUCGCCUGUGAUGAUAAUGACAGUAGCAGGUAAAGAAACCCCGGCUAACUUCGUGCCAGCAGCCGCGGUAAUACGGAGGGGGUUAGCGUUGUUCGGAAUUACUGGGCGUAAGGCGCACGUAGGCGGAUUAGAAAGUUAGGGGUGAAAUCCCAGGGCUCAACCCUGGAACUGCCUUUAAAACUCCUAGUCUUGAGUUCGAGAGAGGUGAGUGGAAUUCCAAGUGUAGAGGUGAAAUUCGUAGAUAUUUGGAGGAACACCAGUGGCGAAGGCGGCUCACUGGCUCGAUACUGACGCUGAGGUGCGAAAGUGUGGGGAGCAAACAGGAUUAGAUACCCUGGUAGUCCACACCGUAAACGAUGAAUGCCAGUCGUCGGGUAGUAUACUAUUCGGUGACACACCUAACGGAUUAAGCAUUCCGCCUGGGGAGUACGGUCGCAAGAUUAAAACUCAAAGGAAUUGACGGGGG